UAUAUUACUCGCAAUAUUAAAACGAAAGUCACCAGUUGAAUUUUGGCUUUCAAAUUGUGAAAAUGUUUGUCGCCCGACUUGUACUUUUCUUGUGUAUCCUGGUGUCGGUGGCUGCCAUUUGCCAUCGUGAUGGGGACAAAUGUACGGCCCAUGGUGAGUGCUGUUCGGGAAUAUGUUUGAAGAUCGUGGACCAGUGUUACCCAAAAAGCGGAUGAUUGUGGGCAUAGCUAGCCUUUCAUCUUGAGGUGAAAGGGUUUUAAAAUUAAUUACAAUAAAAUAUAACUACUAAAUUCACUAAAUAAAAUUAUUGACUUGUUUCUUUAAUAA